UGUGGGGUUAGCCUCAUUUGUUUCUCAUUUCUUGAGGAUCACUGUCUUUUGAUGCUUGAUUCCAGUGAUUGAUUCCCUUUGUUGCUUGAGGGCCAUAGUUUCAUAUAUUUUGUCCAGUAUUUUUGUUGUUUUAGGUCAGAAAGUAAUUUUGGUCUCUGUUACUCCAUCUUGGCCGGAAGUGUAAGACCUAAGUGUUUACACAUCAAAAUACUGCACACAUAAUUUUAGUUUAAGCUACUUGUUAAAAAAUGUCCUUCAUUUUCCAUUUAGCAUUCUAUUUAGGGUAUUACAAUGUUUUUUUUUUUAAUUCUGUUAUUGGCAGUUUCUAUUGCCUAACAAUCCCAUUUAAAGAUAGUGCAUAGGGUAUUCUAAAAUAGCUGUUAAGCAAAGAGAAAAUUGGGCCUGAUAGGGUGAGAAUCACAGCUCUAAUACCUAGAGUGACCUUAUAAUGUAUUGUCAAAAGGAGAUAUUUUUGACAGUGAAAGAGGGUGUUCUUAGUAAUUAUAUCAGGACCAUGGCCUAAACCAGGACUAUCCCAGGCAGCCUGGGACAUAUUUGUACCCCAUCUCUAUUUAAUGCCUUUAUACAAUUCUUUACUUAAUUCUACCAGCCUUUAUUGAGCCUGCUUUCUUUGUCUAGCUGAGUGCCACGUGCUGACAUCACUAAGAUCAAUACAGCAAACUCUGAAAGAUGGACAGGGAGACAGGAGAUGGUCCUUUAUAAUGCAGUGUGAUCUGUGCUGCAAUAGAGUUUUGGAAGCUAGAAGUUCAAAACGAGGUGUUGGCAGCACCAUGCUCUCUCUGAAGAUGCUAGGAAGAAUCUGCUCCAUGCCUUUCCAUUCGCUUCUGGGGUUUCCUGCAAGCCCUGACAUUCCUUGGCUUGUAGAUGCAUCACCCCAGUUUCUGCCCCCAUCAUCACAUGGCCUCCUCUCUGCGUGUGCCUCUGCAUUCCCUCUAUUCUUCUUCUAAGGACACCGACACCAGUCAUAGUGGAUUAAGGGUCCACUCCUAACUAAUUACAUCUGCAACAACCCUAUUUCCAAAUAAAGUCACAUUCUCAGAUUCCUAGGGAGAACAUGAAUUUUUGGGGGUGUGUGGAUACUGUUCAACCUGGGACAUGGAGUAAAUAAAUGGCAAGGAAGAUUACAGAUGACUUUAAGCUAAAGAGGGAGAUAGGGUUAAAUGUAGGACUUUUUUUUUUUUCCAGGACGGGAGAGGUUUAAACAUGUUACUACAUUGAAUAAAUGAAAUAACCAUGGACACGGAGUGGCUAAAGAUUCUGAACUAAGUGCAAGGAAUUGAUAGCGCAAGCUCCCAAGGGGCUGGGGCCUGGAGCGCAGAUGGAUGGAUCCACUGUGGGCAGAACUGGGGCAUGGGAGGGGUGUGCCGAUGCAGAUGUGUUUGAGUGUGGGUGGCCAGAAGCUGAUUGGGGUGAAGCGUGACAGUGCAGCUCCAAGCACGCUGGAGGUGUUCACCAAGCAACUCAAGAGCAGAUGGCAGAACGAGCAGCUGAAAUAACAGCUUGUGAAAUCAACCCUACUUCGUGGGGAGAGGAUUGGUUAAGAAUUCUAGCCAUGAGAAGCAAGAAGAGGAGGAUAAUCUGUUCAUGCCUAUUAUGGGGCUAUGGGGGAGCAGUUUCAGCCUCAUCCUGGAGAAUGUUUUAGAAGGCCAGAGAAAGGAACCCUGCAAAUCACGUGAGCUGGCCCCUCACUUUGAGAUGAAGUGUCCAUACAGCAGUAACGCCACCCUCUGUAGUGGUUCUAGAGUGUGGCAAUCUGGAGGGGUCAUUAUGGAAAACGACUGAAGCAUAAGAAUGUAGGCCCAAUACUGAGAUAGAAAGAGGAUUCUCUGAGAUGACUUAGGCAGGGUGAUGGUGGUGGAGGUGGGUGUAAGAAGCCCUCUGCUGCCUCAGUCCGAGCAUGGAAUUCAAUUGGUCAAGAGCAGAGCCAAUCACCAUUUAGGCCCCCUUGUUAGCCUUAAUUUAUUCCUCAGGUAUGGAGAAUACUCCUCAAGAUGCAUUCAGAGUGUAAGCUACCUCUUCCUCAGCAGACGACUGCCCUGCAGGUUUGCAGUUCUGUCAUUUGGAAACUCCCUGAUGUGUCCCUUGGCUCUUCCCAUUCUUUUGCUUCAACACAUUUUAAGACCAGGCACCUUAGCUGCAGAAACAGCAUGAAAAACAAGUAGGUUUCAGGAAAAAUUAUCCCAAGUGGAGUCUCUACUGUGCUCUGUUUCUCAGAUGUAAAGCUUAAAACAGUGUAAGAGUUUUUAGAGAGUGUAUUCAUAUCACACCAGUUUUGGGUCCAUAGACAGGGGCUUUUUCUAGAUCAAACCGUUCAAUUGUCCUGUUGAUCCUGGCCUAAAAUCUGAGUGGGUAAAGAAUAUUUUAGGAGAGAUGAGAUUCUAACCCUCAAUGGCAAAAAGCAGGGCUGAGCCCUAAGCCCACGUUUUUACACAUAUUUUACAAUUGAAUGUGUUGCACUACCGCUAGAACACUAGUUCUCAACCAGGGGCGAUUUUGCUUUCCAGGGGACAUUGGCAAUGUCUGGAGACAUUUUUUUUUCCAUUUUCAAAAAUUGUGGCAAAGCACAAAACAUCAAAUUAGCCAUUUGAACCAUUUUCAUGUGUAUAGUUCAGUGGCACUAAGCACCUUCACACUGAUGUGCAACCAUCACCACCAUCCAUCCAUAGAACUCUUUUCAUUUUGCAAAACUGUAACUCUGUACCCACUAAACACUAACUCGCCAUUUCCCUCUUCUCCCAGCCCCUGACAACCAUCAUUUGACUUUCUGUCUCCAUGAUUUUGACUACUCUAGGUACCUCAAAUAAGUGGAAUCAUACUGUUGAGGGAUUUUUGAUGGUCACAACUUGGGAUGGGGUGCUGCUGGUGUCUAGUGGGUAAAGGCUAGGGAGGCCACUUAACAUCCUGCAAUGCACAGGAUGGUCCCCACAAGAAAGCAAUAACUAACCACAAAUGUCAAUCCUACCAAAAUUGAGAAACUCUGAGCUAGAAAAAUCCCAUGAGUAAUCUUACACCAUGGAGUAUCAGUCAAUAGAGAAUAGUUAUGUUGCAAUAAGAAACCACCUCCAAAUUUCUGUGGUUUAAAACAACUUAUAUUUUUGCUCUAACAUGGAGCACCCUUAAUCAGCAAUCCGGGCUGGUGGGAGUUCCAUCCUGACCUGGGCUUCUACGAUGAUAAAUUGUGCACUGGCUUUUAAAGCUCCCAUUGGAAGUGUCCAGGUCAUUUUCGGUCACACUUUCUUGGCCAGAUCAAAUCACAGGUCCACAUCUCACUUCAAAGGGAGGAAGGAAGUGCAUUUUUACUCUGAGGAAAUACAACCACCGCACCUAGCAAUUAAAAAUAAACCUCAUAGUGUUAUCACCUGCUUGAACUGCUGCUAUCAGAGCAAGAAUACCAGUAGGAGUGGUGCAGGCUGCAGGUUUUUGGUUUUGUUUUGUUUUGUUUUUGGAGACUGCACUCCAGCCUUAGUCUGUCAUGCAGGCUGGAGUACAGUGGUGUCAUCACAGCUUAUUGCAGCCUUGACCUCCCCACACAAGCGAUCCUCCCACUUCAGCCUCCUGAAUAGUUGAGACUACAGGCCCGUGCCACCACGCCCAGUUAAUUUUUUGUAUUUUUUUGUAGAGAUGGGGUUUCACUAUGUUGCCUAGACUGGUCUUGAACUCCUGGAUGCAAGUGAUCCACUUGCCUCGGCCUCCCAAAGUGCUGGGAUUACAGGCGUGAGCCACCAUGCCUGGCCUAGAAGCUCAUUCUUAUUGGCCAGAAGCUAGAGAGUGAUCUAAAGACUCCAAGCCAGGCCAGACUUGUUUCAAGCCUUAGGGCUAGUGUAUUAAUGAAUGAGGUUCGAACUUCUAUGGCAUGGGAACUGAGGGGCACCACAACACUCAGCUUACUCAAGGGACCAAUUCUAGCAGCCUUCAAAGGAGUCUGAAAAAGGUAGCCUUGAAUUAGUUUCCGGGUGAAAAAUAUUUGUCCCAGUUGAAGCAAGUACUACUAGUGACUGCCUCUGCUAUGGAAGCAGGGGUUACCUGCUUACCUGUGAGCAAUAGGAUUUCUUGGGGUUGAUUUUGCAGGAACAUGUACCUCCAUGUGGCCAAACAAGCAGGCUUGCUUAGAUUUGCACCACAGGAUAUUAAAGUGGAAAGGAAUCUUAAACAUCUAAUUGAGGGAUGGCAAAUUGGGUUCAUUGUAAGAGUCACCUCUGACCCUUUGGUUGUGGCUGCUAGGAGCACUGGGUGGAAAGAAUUCCGUAGUUUUUUCCAGAGAGAGACAGCCACGCUUCAUUAGAGAGUCUAGUGGGCAUGGAAGGGAGGGGGUGAGUUGUUGUGCCUGUAACAGGAUUUUGCCAUCACUAGUUCUAAUCCAACACUUUGAGAGCUGAGGCUCAGCUCCAAGAGUGAUUUAUAGAGGUCCUUCCUUUAUUGCUUUUAUGUCACCACAUCUAGAAUUAGGUCUUCUGCUUCAAAGAAAGUCAGCUGCCUUAUUACCAUGUAGCAUAGUUAGAUUCCCCAUUUCACCUAGAAAAUAAAUAUUUAUUGAGGGCUGGCCAAGUGUGGUGGCUCACGCCUGUAAUCCCCGCAUUUUGGGAGGCCAAGGUGGUUGGAUCAUUUGAGGUCAGGAGUUCGAGACCAGCCUGGCCAACAUGGUGAAACCCUGUUUCUACUAAAAAUACAAAAAUUAGCCAGAAAUCCCUUGAACCCAGGAGACGGAGGUUGCAGCGAGCCAAGAUCGCACCACUGCACUCCAGCCUGGGUGGAAGAGAGAGAUUCCAUCUCAAAAAAUAAAAUAAAUAAAUAAAUAAAUUCACAAAAAUAUUUAUUGAGGGCCCACUUGGUUUUUAGCAGUGAAAUAGGAGCCGAACAUAGAGCAGUGAAUGAAUAGGCCAAGUCCCUGCUCUUCUUGGCCUUACAUUUUGGGGGAGGAGACAGAUUAGUAAUUAUUAGGAGAAUUAUUAGUAAUUAUUAGGAGAAAGCAGGAAAUUUCUGCUUUCAUGGGUGGGAUACCAGAAGGUAAAUCAUUAUGCAAGGAUAUUUGGGGAAAAGUUUCUAUAGCAUAGAUGUAUUUUAGGAUGAUUGGGGCUGUGUGUUGUGAGCACGGGAUCUCUGAGGCAGUCAAAGGGCACCAGGAACCUCAUCUCUUAAGACGUGCAUGCACCGUAGGCUGCCUUUGUGUCCCUCACUCUGGCCAAGCUCCCUUCUUUAUCAUGGCCUUUGCACUUGCUGUUCUCUGUCUGGGGAAGAAUGCUCUUUCCCUAGAGAUCCAAAUGGCUCACUCCUUCAGUGUCUUCAAAUCUCUGUCAAAUGUCACCUAAACAGAGAGGCUUUCCCUGGCCUCUAGAGGACAAAGUAGCACAUUUUCUCACCCACUUACCCUGCUCAUCCUUCUUUAUAGCACCCCUCACCACCUGCUGUAUUAUUUGUUUAUCGUUCAGCUUUCUCAGCUUUCUCUCUAAAAUGGAAGAUCUAUGAGAACAAGAACCUGUCUGCUCAUUGAGGUGUUCCUCUAGAAAAAUGUCUGGCCCAUAGCAGGUGCUUAAUCAACAAUUUCUGAAGGAAAAGUGGAGGAAAAAAAGAUAGGAGAAAGCAAACUCAUGAAGAAGAGUGCUUGGGUGGGGUGGGAGGAGAAGAGGGCAAUGGAUCCAGGCCCUACAGGGAUUCACUGUUCAAGCAGAAAGUCCAGGGAAAGCCACAUGGCCUCCUUCAAUCGGAAGAGCUGGAGCUGCUGAUAUCCCCUGCAACCUGGGAGCCAGUGCGUGCAAUUCUCCAGCUGGGUCUAAGGACAGAAGGAGGCUAAUGAACAGCCACCUUCGGAGCAACAGGGUCACUUCAGUCCUCCCUGUUUACUUCCAAGCUGCUGAGAGUCUUAUGCACAUUUCCUCUUCUCACUUGCCUCUUCACAUCCCUAGCUGCCGCAGGAAUUUAUGGCUUAAUUAAAGUGGGAAGCAGGGUUUAUACAUGUUUAUAUAAAGUUAUAUUUUCCUCCACCUCUUUGAUGGAAGAAAACUCAAAUGUUAAAAUUCUUAGGAGCCCAGGAGUUCGAGACUAGCCUGGGAAACAUUGCAACCCCAUCUCUACAAAGAAUAAAAAAAUUAGCUGGGAGUGGUGGUCCCAGCUACUUGGGAGGCUGAGGCAGGAGAAUCAUUUGAGCCCAGGAGGUUGAGGCUGCAGUGAGCCAUGUUAGUGCCAUUGCACACCAGCCUGGGUGACAGUGAGAUCUUGUUUAAAAAUGAAGAAAGAAAGAAACACCUAGAAAGGACACUAGAGAUAAAUCUAGUUCAUGCUCCUUGUUUUCUAUGGGAGGACACUGAGGUCCAGGGUCACACAACUCACAAAUGGCCAGCCUACAGAAACCCUGUAAGAGGCAGAGUAUGAGGAAAAGGCAGGCACUUGUGAUAACCCCACUGGUGGGCAGGAGCUAAGCCUCCAUAGGUGGGGAAGGGAAUUAACCCCAGGACACAGGCUCCAGUCUGGGGGCUUGAGAUGCUCAGGGGACACCAGUUAGAACUAAAGCAGGAGGCCAAGGCAGAAGCUGUGCUCCUCUGCCUGGAUGUAUGAGGGCAGCAGAGGAAGAAGAGUUGGCAAAGCAGCCCAGAAACACAUGAAGAGGAGGAGUGAAUGUAAGUAGAGCAUGCCAGAGAUGGCAGAUCAAGGCAGGGAGUUAAAUUGAAGGAGGAGGCAGCCGCGGCCAAGGGUGCACAGUGAUUCAAAGUUACAGUUGGUUAUGGGCUGAGGAAACAGCUUUCUGUUUCACUGCUGUGAGAGGCAACCAGGUUGCAAGGAAAGGAGGGGAAGAGGGAGGCGUUAACAUGGAGGAGUGAAUGUAGACAGAACCUUCCAGAUGUUGGCUGAAGAUAGAAAGGAGAGGGAGGAGGGGUUCUGGAGGGAGAAAGAAGUUAAAGAGUAUUUUUUUAUAUGGGGAGAUAUGGGAGUUUUGGGUUUUAUUUUUGGCUUGUGAGAAUGAGCUAAUCUUGUAUAAAGGGAUUAAAGAUUUUUUAAAAACUUUA